rnacentral:rRNA from 1 species
UACGUAGGGUGCGAGCGUUAAUCGGAAUUACUGGGCGUAAAGCGUGCGUAGACGGUCGCGUAAGUCAGAUGUGAAAGCCCCGGGCUCAACCUGGGAACUGCAUUUGAGACUGCUCUGCUCGGGUGCGGAAGAGGGAAGCGGAAUUUCCGGUGUAGCGGUGAAAUGCGUAGAUAUCGGAAGGAACACCAGUGGCGAAAGCGGCUUCCUGGUCCGACACCGACGUUCAGGCACGAAAGCGUGGGGAGCAAACAGG